rnacentral:rRNA from 1 species
UACGUAGGGUGCGAGCGUUGUCCGGAAUUAUUGGGCGUAAAGAGCUCGUAGGCGGCUUGUCACGUCGAUUGUGAAAGCCCGAGGCUUAACCUCGGGUCUGCAGUCGAUACGGGCUAGCUAGAGUGUGGUAGGGGAGAUCGGAAUUCCUGGUGUAGCGGUGAAAUGCGCAGAUAUCAGGAGGAACACCGGUGGCGAAGGCGGAUCUCUGGGCCAUUACUGACGCUGAGGAGCGAAAGCGUGGGGAGCAAACAGG